UGAGUAACCUGCCCCAAACUCUGGGAUAAGCACUGGAAACGGUGUCUAAUACCGGAUACGAGCUUCAGCCGCAUGGCUAGGAGUUGGAAAGAAUUUCGGUUUGGGAUGGACUCGCGGCCUAUCAGCUAGUUGGUGAGGUAAUGGCUCACCAAGGCGACGACGGGUAGCCGGCCUGAGAGGGUGACCGGCCACACUGGGACUGAGACACGGCCCAGACUCCUACGGGAGGCAG
rnacentral:rRNA from 1 species